GUAGGGGGCUAGCGUUGUCCGGAAUCAUUGGGCGUAAAGCGCGCGUAGGCGGCCCGGUAAGUCCGCUGUAAAAGUCAAAGGCUCAACCUUUGAAUGUCAGUGGAUACUGCCGGGCUAGAGUCCGGAAGAGGCGAGUGGAACUCCUGGUGUAGCGGUGGAAUGCGCAGAUAUCAGGAAGAACACCGACGGCGAAGGCAGCUCGCUGGGACGGUACUGACGCUGAGGCGCGAAAGCGUGGGGAGCGAACAGGAUUAGAUACCCUGGUAGUCCACGCCGUAAACGAUGGGCACUAGGUGUGGGAGGUGUCGACUCCUCCCGUGCCGGCGCUAACGCAUUAAGUGCCCCGCCUGGGGAGUACGGCCGCAAGGCUAAA
rnacentral:rRNA from 1 species